GUAGGCGACUCGUGUGCUUGAUCGCCAGUCUCUAAAAGGUGCUAUUUCUUUGUUGUUAUUUUUUUUUUCCGAAGCCCAAAAUGAAUUACUUCAAACAAAAGGCAGGAUGGAUUUUUGUAUUAAAGCACAUUUUCAGCAUGAAAUAAAAGUUUGAGAAUCCACCGAAGUUUAGAAACGACAAAGUGAGAAGGCUGCUUCAGCCAGCUGUGCUCUUGCAUCAAGAUUGUGCAACCAACCAACCGAUUCGUAGGCACGCAGACACAACGCACCGUGCCUGUGCCCCCUGUUCCUCCCCCUUCAUCCACCGCCAUGCUCCUGCAGAGCUCCCAGCUGCUUUACCUGCAGGAGCUGUGGCCUCCCGCCUGCUGGGGUGUGAGAACAGAUCGUAUUUACGUUGUCAUGGGCAACGGACUAUAGGACACAGGUCUUCCGGUGUGCCGGCAAUGGCAUGCAGGUGAGCCCUGAGAUUAGGGAAACGUGCAGAUCCAAGCUGCUGUCUUCAAUGUCCUCAUUUCAAGAAAAGGAACUGGAAGCUUCAAAACAAGGUAACAGCCAGCACAUGUCAAAGAUACAGGGCUGUGGAGACCCUGGGGUAUGCCAAGGGAUGGUAACAAAAACACAGUUCUGUGUUUUCCUACAGGUCCUGCAGCAGAGAUGGUGCUAGGCACUCACUCAUAGUGCCACGUUCAAAUAAAAGAAUCACCUUUGCUUCAGGUUUGAGAGAAGGGAGGGGAGCAGAGACUGAUAGAACUCACAGCUAUAUUCCCUUCUUGUGUGUUCUUAGGAAACAGGAGAGGGCUUUACUGUAAAACUGAGCCAUAUGUGAAGCAGCUUGCAACAGCAGGCUGCACCCACAAUUGUUCCUUGAGAUUACAUGACGCUCUCCUUGACCAUGAUGGAGCUGUACAGGGACAUACUAGAUGAACACAGUUUAAACAUGCAUGUGAUCAAGCAAGGAAAAUCUAUAAUAAUCGUCUCUGUAACUGAAAUCCACCGUGAAUUAUUGAUUUUAUUAGUGAAAAUAAAUAGUAAAAAAAGCAAUAAGAAUUUGCUCAAACUGUUGAAUGAGAAAAAUCACAUCACAGAGCAUUGUUUAAAAAUGUAUUAAGUGACAAUAGAUGUUCACAAUGUACUGGAUUUGUAAAGAUUAUUCUACACAUGUAAAUCCAGCCGUGUUUGUCCAAGACUUGAAGCAAAUGGAAACUAGGGGCAACACAGCUUUUACGUCUCAAAAUGAAAUAAUGAUCUUAAUGCAUACGAUAAGAAAGGAAAGAGGAAGGGAGUUCCCCUGUACAGGUAAUCUUUAUUUUACCUUCAUAUCUUCCUUUGUGCUAUUUUAUUUGGAGUCUGAUUAGAAGCAGAGCUCAGUGCCAUGUAUUUCAAAUAACCCCCUGCAAGACUGAAUUAUUUCUACAGGGACCAGAUCUUCUUUUUUUUUAAGCAUCAAACCAGAGGUGUAAAAAGACAGUGUUGACAAAAAGAGCGGGUCAAAUAAUGUUGACCAACUUAGUUCAUGUGCUUCACAAACGGAACGCAGAUGUGUGCCUACAGCAGGCAUGAGUAGUAAAGGGAGGUGAAGGCAAAAAAGUCUCCACUGGAUGAUAAAGAGAAAAAAUCUACAUCACUGACAUUUCUAUUGCUCUCACUGUAAGGAUGAUGCUGUAGGAAUUCAAAAAUAAAGUAACAAGCUAUUUCCACUAGUGUCAAAAUUCAGAAUUUCAGGGCUAAAAUAAGCACACAAAAUAAAAUGUACAAUUAAUGGA